AUUCACCUUAUUUUUCACGACAACAAGGGCGGCGCCAUUUCGCUCAUUUUGUCAACGUUCUUCCGGCCGCAUAGACGAUGAGCAGCUGAGGCAGUGACUGAAGGCGACGUGUUAAGCUUAAAAAGCUCACUCGAGCGCCUUUAUGUUUCUUUCUUACCAAUUUUAAGCCAACUGAGGAACACCCUUAUCCCAAGUAAUUGUUCGACUACGAUGUUCCGGUAACUUUAAACCACGCCUGGUGUUGAAAAGGUGGCCAGUUUCAGAUGCAUUGAUGUUUAGUGAUGCAGUGGACAACUGUGAGGAUGAUAUACAAUCAACAUGUUCCUAAACUGUGAUGCAGAAACACAAUGGGAGCAUCUAUCCGUCUCUGACCACAACUACAAAAUCACAACUCAACCUGAAGCAACAUACAUCUGAUAUGGGAAAACAAUGGUGCGGUUUCCCGGACAGGGCUUAUCCUGGUCCCAGGCUAAAAUGCAUAUUUGAGCAACAAUAAUUUAAAAACACCUUUUACUGACAUACCUCAACAUAUAUUAGUGCCAUUGUUUUGUCACAAGAUGCGCACCAGUCUUGUUUUUUUGUAGGAUUUGUUUGUAAAAACUAAAAUGUCCUAAUAUAAUUAAGGCCUAGUCCUGUAAACCCUGUCCGAGAAACUGCUUCAAUGCUUCUGCUUCAUGUGUUGAGCUGGCACAAAUGUACAUAUCUCUGCUGAGAAACAACCAUCUUUGGUUCAGCUUUACACAGGGUUGAUAUUGCAUCCAUUACACAGUCGCCAAGCACUUUACCAGUACAUACACCAACAGCUUCCAGAUAUACGCUUGGGAUCAGCUCCUGAUGACUCAGAUAAAGCUGUGUCUUAAUUUAUUGCAGGGUGGUCUUGCUUUACCGGUUGUAAAGUUACAUUAAACCUUCAUAUGUGAUCAGAUGUCAUGCAGUGAUAUUAAACAUUUACAGUGUGAUCAGAUGUUGUGCAUUUAUAUUAAACAUUUACAAUGUGAUCAGAUGUUGUGCAUUUAUAUUAAAUCUUUACAAUGUGAUCAGAUGUUGUGCAUUUAUAUUAAAUCUUUACAAUGUGAUCAGCUGUUACCUGUCAUGCAGUUAUAUUAAACAUUUACAAUGUGA